AUUGAACGCUGGCGGCAGGCCUAACACAUGCAAGUCGAACGGUAACAGGAAGAAGCUUGCUUCUUUGCUGACGAGUGGCGGACGGGUGAGUAAUGUCUGGGAAACUGCCUGAUGGAGGGGGAUAACUACUGGAAACGGUAGCUAAUACCGCAUAACGUCGCAAGACCAAAGAGGGGGACCUUCGGGCCUCUUGCCAUCGGAUGUGCCCAGAUGGGAUUAGCUAGUAGGUGGGGUAACGGCUCACCUAGGCGACGAUCCCUAGCUGGUCUGAGAGGAUGACUAGCCACACUGGAACUGAGACACGGUCCAGGCGCCUACGGGAGGCAGCAGUGGGGAAUAGUGCACAAUGGGCGCAAGCCUGAUGCAGCCAUGGCGCGUGUAUGAAGAAGGCCUUCGGGUUGUAAAGUACUUUCAGCGGGGAGGAAGGGAGUAAAGUUAAUACCUUUACUCAUUGACGUUACCCGCAGAAGAAGCACCGGCUAACUCCGUG
rnacentral:rRNA from 1 species